rnacentral:rRNA from 1 species
GACGAACGCUGGCGGCGUGCCUAAUACAUGCAAGUCGAACGAAGCUGUUUUAACUGGUGCUUGCACCGACUUAAACAACUGAGUGGCGAACGGGUGAGUAACACGUGGGUAACCUGCCCCAAAGCGCGGGAUAACAUUUGGAAACAGAUGCUAAUACCGCAUAACCACAGAAACCACAUGGUUUCUGUGUCAAAGAUGGUUUCGGCUAUCACUUUGGGAUGGACCCGCGGCGUAUUAGCUAGUUGGUAAGGUAAUGGCUUACAAAGGCAAUGAUCCGUGGCCAAACUGAGAGGUUGAUCGGCCACAUUGGGACUGAGACACGGCCCAAACUCCUACGGGAGGCAGCAGUAGGGAAUCUUCCACAAUGGACGAAAGUCUGAUGGAGCAACGCCGCGUGAGUGAAGAAGGUUUUCGGAUCGUAAAACUCUGUUGUCAGAGAAGAACGUGUGCGAGAGUAACUGCUCGUGCAGUGACGGUAUCUGGCCAGAAAGCCACGGCUAACUACGUGCCAGCCGCCGCAGUAA